UACGAAGGGGGCUAGCGUUGCUCGGAAUCACUGGGCGUAAAGGGUGCGUAGGUGGCCUAUUAAGUCAGGGGUGAAAGACGGUAGCUUAACUAUCGCAGUGCCUUUGAUACUGAUGGGCUUGAAUACACUUGAGGUAGGCGGAAUGUGACAAGUAGCGGUGAAAUGCAUAGAUAUGUCACAGAACACCAAUUGCGAAGGCAGCUUACUAAAGUGUUAUUGACACUGAGGCACGAAAGCGUGGGGAUCAAACAGG
rnacentral:rRNA from 1 species